UGAGUCUUCAUAAAGGAGGAGUUACAUGGAUCAUCUCUGCAACGGGAAGAGGAAAUAUGAGCGCACAGAAUGAGCAGCGACUCCCAAUGUGACCAACACUGAAUGUGACUUUCUGGGCUUCCUGCUCCUUCUUCUCUCCAAUGACGGCCUCAGUGAUGAAGGCAGAUGUUCCUGCUGCUGCUCUGCUUUGAUAUGAGCUGCAUGAAACAACACUGCAACAACACGCUGGACAAACAUCUAAGAGUCCAUCUGCAGGACUUUGGAGUUUCCUUCACUCUCCUUCACUCCUUUCCUUCACCUCAUGACGUUUUCCAUCCACAUGAAGGUAAAGUGAUGAGGAAAAGGAGGAAGGACGGAUUUGGACUCAUUUCUUUGGGAGCUCAGACUCGACUCUGGAGCGCCCCCUGCUGCGCUCCCGGCUCAAUCGCAGCCACUUCCUGUUCAGUGGGAUUAACCGGAAGUGGGACAAGUCUGCCGUGAAGCGCGUGGAUCUGUGCUCGCUGACCUUUUUGUGUGUUUGGAAAGAGUUGCAGCUUCGUCCCGCAGCUUCAUCUAAAGGCCGAAGAGUCUAAGGUUCCAGCGACGUGAGUAGGCUUCCAGCUGAUCAUCAGGAGGAGGAGAGUCUGACGGAGCAGCAGAGGAACAUUUUCAGCCUCUA